rnacentral:lncRNA from 1 species
CAUUACUCAGAGUUGGAUCUCAUCAUUUCUUUUUCAAUGAAAUUCCUUCUGAUUUCCUCAGGGCCUUCAAAGGAAACGAAGUAGUACAGAAAAAUGGGUGAUGUUUAUUGGUGUUUAUCUGUUGAGUUGCCUGUAUUGUGUCGAUGCCUAUGUUUUUAUCAUUGCUGAUGAAGAAGUUUGAAAACAGGUCAGCUGCAAGUGCAUGCUGCUUUUAAAUUUGUUUAGCAGCUCUUCUAAUAACUUUUUGUCAGCUCCACUUGAGAGUUGAGGCAAG